CAGAAGGUGCCUGAGUGUUACAGUGUGUUUAAGUCAGGGGUGAAAGACUUGGGGAAAAUGCAGAUUCUUAUUACAUAAUAUAAUUAUUGCUCCUAUGUUGUCUUUUGGAAAUCUUGGCUAUCAAUGUACAUGUUCUGUGUCUAGCUCUGCAUUUCUAAAACAGGUACAAGAGUAAAUGUGAUGGCUAAGAAUAUAUAGCAGUGACCUCUUUGUAAAACAUACAGACCCAAAACACACGGUGCUGAGGCUUUUGAUCAAGAUCACUGCAAGUAUCUCAUGCAUGGACUUCAAGUACAAGGAUCCUUCUGAUUAUUUUACAGUUAUUUUUCACACAAAGGAUCUUGUUGAAAAAUGUGCUCUUCAAGGAAGUUGGGGCAAGGGAUAUUCCAAGGAAGGCACACAUACCAGAAAAACAUUUGUAUUAGCUGAGAACUGGACCAUGAGAAGGCUGCAGAAGGGACCGGAGCUAUUUUUUUCCUGGCAGCAGACUCACAGAGAGGCUCAAAACUUGGAGUAGGAGAGGAAAGUUGGACAGAAAUCAACUGCGGAAUAACUGUGAGUCAUAGCCCACAUUCCCCUUCCCUGUGUCACAUGCUUAG
rnacentral:lncRNA from 9 species